GACGAACGCUGGCGGCGUGCUUAACACAUGCAAGUCGAACGGAAAGGCCCUGCUUUUGUGGGGUGCUCGAGUGGCGAACGGGUGAGUAACACGUGAGUAACCUGCCCUUGACUGUGGGAUAACUUCAGGAAACUGGGGCUAAUACCGGAUAGGAGCUCCUGCUGCAUGGUGGGGGUUGGAAAGUUUCGGCGGUUGGGGAUGGACUCGCGGCUUAUCAGCUUGUUGGUGGGGUAGUGGCUUACCAAGGCUUUGACGGGUAGCCGGCCUGAGAGGGUGACCGGCCACAUUGGGACUGAGAUACGGCCCAGACUCCUACGGGAGGCAGCAGUGGGGAAUAUUGCACAAUGGGCGGAAGCCUGAUGCAGCAACGCCGCGUGCGGGAUGCCGGCCUUCGGGUUGUAAACCGCUUUCGCCUGUGACGAAGCGUGAGUGACGGUAAUGGGUAAAGAAGCACCGGCUAACUACGUG
rnacentral:rRNA from 1 species